rnacentral:rRNA from 1 species
AUUGAACGCUGGCGGCAGGCCUAACACAUGCAAGUCGAGCGGCAGCGGGAAAGUAGCUUGCUACUUUUGCCGGCGAGCGGCGGACGGGUGAGUAAUGCCUGGGAAAUUGCCCAGUCGAGGGGGAUAACAGUUGGAAACGACUGCUAAUACCGCAUACGCCCUACGGGGGAAAGCAGGGGACCUUCGGGCCUUGCGCGAUUGGAUAUGCCCAGGUGGGAUUAGCUAGUUGGUGAGGUAAUGGCUCACCAAGGCGACGAUCCCUAGCUGGUCUGAGAGGAUGAUCAGCCGCACUGGAACUGAGACACGGUCCAGACUCCUACGGGAGGCAGCAGUGGGGAAUAUUGCACAAUGGGGGAAACCCUGAUGCAGCCAUGCCGCGUGUGUGAAGAAGGCCUUCGGGUUGUAAAGCACUUUCAGCGAGGAGGAAAGGUUGUUGGCUAAUAUCCAACAGCUGUGACGUUACUCGCAGAAGAAGCACCGGCUAACUCCGUGCCAGCCGCCGCGGUAACAC